rnacentral:rRNA from 1 species
UACGGAGGGUGCAAGCGUUGUCCGGAUUUAUUGGGUUUAAAGGGUGCGUAGGCGGCCCGGUAAGUCAGUGGUGAAAGCCUCCAGCUCAACUGGAGAACUGCCAUUGAUACUGCCGGGCUUGAGUACAGACGAGGUUGGCGGAAUUGAUUGUGUAGCGGUGAAAUGCAUAGAUACAAUCAAGAACUCCGAUUGCGUAGCAGCUAACUAGGCUGUAACUGACGCUGAGGCACGAAAGCGUGGGGAGCGAACAGG